rnacentral:rRNA from 1 species
CCUACGGGUGGCUGCAGUGAGGAAUAUUGGUCAAUGGACGAGAGUCUGAACCAGCCAAGUAGCGUGAAGGAUGACUGCCCUAUGGGUUGUAAACUUCUUUUGUAUGGGAAUAAACUGUUCCACGUGUGGGAUUUUGUAUGUACCCUGUAAAUAAGGAUCGGCUAACUCCGUGCCAGCAACCGCGGUAAUAAGGAGGAUCCGAGAGUUAUCCGGAUUUAUUUGGGUUAAAGGGGGGGUAGGUGGGUAGUUAAGGCAGUUGUGAAAGUUUGGGGCUCAACCGUCAAAGUGCAGUUGAAACUGGCAGUCUUGAGUACAGUAGAGGUGGGCGGAAUUCGUGGUGUAGCGGUGAAAUGCUUAGAUAUCACGAAGAACUCCGAUUGCGAAGGCAGUUCACUGGACUGCAACUGACACUGAGGCUCGAAAGUGUGGGUAUCAAACAGGAUUAGAUACCCGUGUAGUC